AUUGAACGCUGGCGGCAUGCCUUACACAUGCAAGUCGAACGGCAGCACGGGAGCAAUCCUGGUGGCGAGUGGCGAACGGGUGAGUAAUAUAUCGGAACGUGCCCGGUCGUGGGGAUAACGUAGCGAAAGCUACGCUAAUACCGCAUACGAUCUACGGAUGAAAGCGGGGGAUCGCAAGACCUCGCGCGAUUGGAGCGGCCGAUAUCAGAUUAGGUAGUUGGUGAGGUAAAGGCUCACCAAGCCGACGAUCUGUAGCUGGUCUGAGAGGACGACCAGCCACACUGGGACUGAGACACGGCCCAGACUCCUACGGGAGGCAGCAGUGGGGAAUUUUGGACAAUGGACGCAAGUCUGAUCCAGCCAUUCCGCGUGCAGGAUGAAGGCCCUCCGGGUUGUAAACUGCUUUGUA
rnacentral:rRNA from 1 species